GAGACCCGUGCCCACUGUUACCAGCAUGUCCUUCGGGAUGAUGGGUACUCUGUGGGGACCGCCGGUGUCAAAUCGGAGGAAGGUGCGGGCCACGGUAGGUCAGUAUGCCCCGAAUCUCCCGGGCUACACGCGGGCUACAAUGAAUGGGACAAUGGGUCCCUUCUCCGAAAGGAGUUGGUAAUCUCACAAACCCAUCCUUAGUUCGGAUCGAGGGCUGUAACUCGCCCUCGUGAAGCUGGAAUCCGUAGUAAUCGCGUUUCAAUAUAGCGCGGUGAAUAC
rnacentral:rRNA from 1 species